GACGAACGCUGGCGGCGUGCUUAACACAUGCAAGUCGAACGGAAAGGCCCUGCUUUUGCGGGGUGCUCGAGUGGCGAACGGGUGAGUAACACGUGAGUAACCUGCCCUUGACUUUGGGAUAACUUCAGGAAACUGGUGCUAAUACCGGAUAGGAGCUCCUGCUGCAUGGUGGGGGUUGGAAAGUUUCGGCGGUUGGGGAUGGACUCGCGGCUUAUCAGCUUGUUGGUGGGGUAGUGGCUUACCAAGGCUUUGACGGGUAGCCGGCCUGAGAGGGUGACCGGCCACAUUGGGACUGAGAUACGGCCCAGACGCCUACGGGAGGCAGCAGUGGGGAAUAUUGCACAAUGGGCGGAAGCCUGAUGCAGCAGCGCCGCGUGCGGGAUGACGGCCUUCGGGUUGUAAACCGCUUUCGCCUGUGACGAAGCGUGAGUGACGGUAAUGGGUAAAGAAGCACCGGCUAACUACGUG
rnacentral:rRNA from 1 species